GAUGAACGCUAGCGGCAGGCUUAACACAUGCAAGUCGAGGGGCAGCAUGACACGGAGAUUCGUCGAAGUGUUGAUGGCGACCGGCGCAAGGGUGCGUAACGCGUGAGCAACUUGCCCGUUUCAGGGGGAUAACCGGUGGAAACGCCGACUAAUACCCCAUAGUAUCAGCUUUAGGCAUCUUUAGUUGAUUAAAGAAUUUCGGAAACGGAUAGGCUCGAGUGACAUUAGCUAGAUGGCGGGGUAACGGCCCACCAUGGCGACGAUGUCUAGGGGUUCUGAGAGGAAGGUCCCCCACACUGGAACUGAGACACGGUCCAGACUCCUACGGGAGGCAGCAGUGAGGAAUAUUGGUCAAUGGUCGAGAGACUGAACCAGCCAUGCCGCGUGAAGGUCACGGCCCUAUGGGUCUUAAACUUCUUUUGUAAGGGAGCAAUAAGUCUCACGUGUGGGAUGAUGAGAGUACCUUACGAAUAAGCAUCGGCUAACUCCGUGCCAGCCGCCGCGGUAACAC
rnacentral:rRNA from 1 species